CGGAAACAGCUGAUCAGCACCGCCUGUUUUGUGAGAGGGAACAUUUAGGUGGAAGUACUCAGAUGGACAUGAUUGGUUAUAGAUUAAACCAUCCAACGUUAUAUAUUCCCCGCAGCUGGCCUGCAGCACGUGAUCUCUCUACUCGCCACCUGAUUGGCUCCGUCACAGCGUCAGUUUAAAGAGCCCAGCGCCAGAGAGUUACAACCAUAGAUAUAUAUAUAUAAACACAGAUCGGUACAGAUCGGGCAGGGGGACAGAUCGGGUAGUG